rnacentral:rRNA from 1 species
GCCCCACUUCGUAAAUGUGGGGUGAGACCUGCUCAAUGAUUGCCAAUAAUAACUAAAAACAAUUAAAUAGCCGCGGUAACUCUGACCGUGAUAAAGUAGCAUAAUCACUCGUCAUUUAAUUGAUGACUGGAAUGAAUGGUUAAACGAAUCUUUAACUGUCUCGGAAGGAAAUUUGCUUAAUUUGAAAAAACAGUGAAGAUGCUGUUGCAAGAUUGUAAGACGAAAAGACCCUAUCGAGCUUUACUAAAAGCUUACAUAUUUAUAGAAUUACAAGAUUUUGAUAAUACAUAUUAUGUAAGCCUGUUAGUUUGGUUGGGGCGACCACCUCUAAAAAAGUAUCAGAGGAAUUCUAAAGGUUUAUUAACAAUAUAUAAUGCCUUACUGUAUACGUACCGGUUAAUCAGUUACUUAUGAGUAGGAUAUAAUGACCCGUUGAAAGUAUUUUUAUGUUUAACGACUAUGGAAAAAGUUACCGUAGGGAUAACAGGGUAAUAUUUUCGAAGAGUUCAUAUCGAUGAAAAUGUUUGCCACCUCGAUGUUGAAUUGUGAUAUCCUAAGGGUGUAGCAGCUCUUGAGGGUUG